UAGGGAAUCUUCGGCAAUGGGGGCAACCCUGACCGAGCAACGCCGCGUGAGUGAAGAAGGUUUUCGGAUCGUAAAGCUCUGUUGUAAGAGAAGAACGUGUGUGAGAGUGGAAAGUUCACACAGUGACGGUAACUUACCAGAAAGGGACGGCUAACUACGUGCCAGCAGCCGCGGUAAUACGUAGGUCCCGAGCGUUGUCCGGAUUUAUUGGACGUAAAGCGAGCGCAGGCGGUUUAAUAAGUCUGAAGUUAAAGGCAGUGGCUUAACCAUUGUUCGCUUUGGAAACUGUUAAACUUGAGUGAAGAAGGGGAGAGUGGAAUUCCAUGUGUAGCGGUGAAAUGCGUAGAUAUAUGGAGGAACACCGGUGGCGAAAGCGGCUCUCUGGUCUGUAACUGACGCUGAGGCUCGAAAGCGUGGGGAGCAAACAGG
rnacentral:rRNA from 1 species